rnacentral:rRNA from 1 species
UACGUAGGGGGCUAGCGUUGUCCGGAUUUAUUGGGCGUAAAGAGCGUGUAGGCGGCUAGGUAGGUCCGUUGUGAAAACUCGAGGCUCAACCUCGAGACGUCGAUGGAAACCAUCUAGCUAGAGUCCGGAAGAGGAGAGUGGAAUUCCUGGUGUAGCGGUGAAAUGCGCAGAUAUCAGGAGGAACACCGAUGGCGAAGGCAGAUCUCUGGGCCGUAACUGACGCUGAGGAGCGAAAGCGUGGGGAGCGAACAGG